rnacentral:misc_RNA from 1 species
AAGUCGUAACAAGGUUUCCGUAGGUGAACCUGCGGAAGGAUCAUUAACAAAUCUGAACUGGUCUAGUGCAAGCAGUUUUCUGCUCGUACUAGAUCACAUUGACUCAGCUCGGCUUUACCUGCACCUGGCUUUUGGGGUGGGUGAGGGGUUAGUCGAGUGUUGAGACACAUUCACGCUUGUUGUGUUUGACUGAGUUUAUUAUGUGACAAAAUAAAGACAACUUUUAACAAUGGAUCUCUUGGCUCUU